CUGCUCCGGUCUAUCUGUUCACUUCAGUAGAAUCUACAUUCUGAAAAUCAUUUCCUGAGCGUCCUUACACAUUGGUGCCUGUAAGGCUACAGCUGUGGAGGAGUGCUUCUCUUCAUUCUUCCACCAUAUAAAGCAGAGAGAAGUGUAGCUGAUGGAUCAGUGGAAGGGCACUGCCUUCGCCCACAUGCUGCACAAGUAUGCCUGUUGUUCUCCUUCUUCCGAUGUCCACUGUGCACAGCAGGA